UUGCGGCUUGCCUUAUACUUGCAAGNUCGAGCGAAUGGNAUUAAGAGCUUGCUCUUAUGAAGUUAGCGGACGGACGGGUGAGUAACACGUGGUGUAACCUGCCCAUAAGACUGGGAUAACUCCGGGAAACCGGGGCUAAUACCGGAUAACAUUUUGAACCGCAUGGUUCGAAAUUGAAAGGCGGCUUCGGCUGUCACUUAUGGAUGGACCCGCGUCGCAUUAGCUAGUUGGUGAGGUAACGGCUCACCAAGGCNNCGAUGCGUAGCCGACCUGAGAGGGUGAUCGGCCACACUGGGACUGAGACACGGCCCAGACUCCUACGGGAGGCAGCAGUAGGGAAUCUUCCGCAAUGGACGAAAGUCUGACGGAGCAACGCCGCGUGAGUGAUGAAGGCUUUCGGGUCGUAAAACUCUGUUGUUAGGGAAGAACAAGUGCUAGUUGAAUAAGCUGGCACCUUGACGGUACCUAACCAGAAAGCCACGGCUAACUACGUGCCAGCAGCCGCGGUAAUACGUAGGUGGCAAGCGUUAUCCGGAAUUAUUGGGCGUAAAGCGCGCGCAGGUGGUUUCUUAAGUCUGAUGUGAAAGCCCACGGCUCAACCGUGGAGGGUCAUUGGAAACUGGGAGACUUGAGUGCAGAAGAGGGAAAGUGGAAUUNCCAUGUGUAGCGGNGAAAUGCCGUNAUAGAUAUGGGAGGAACACCNAGUGNCGAANGCGACUUUUCUGGUCUGUAAACUGACACUUGAGGC
rnacentral:rRNA from 1 species